rnacentral:rRNA from 1 species
GACGAACGCUGGCGGCGUGCUUAACACAUGCAAGUCGAACGGAAAGGCCCUGCUUUUGUGGGGUGCUCGAUUGGCGAACGGGUGAGUAACACGUGAGUAACCUGCCCUUAACUUUGGGAUAACUUCAGGAAACUGGGGCUAAUACCGGAUAGGAGCUCCUGCUGCAUGUGGGGGGUUGGAAAGUGUCGGCGGUUGGGGAUGGACUCGCGGCUUAUCAGCUUGUUGGUGGGGUAGUGGCUUACCAAGGCUUUGACGGGUAGCCGGCCUGAGAGGGUGACCGGCGACAGUGGGACUGCGAUACGGCCCAGACUCCUACGGGAGGCAGCAGUGGGGAAUCUUGCACAGUGGGCGGAAGCGUGAUGCAGCAACGCCGCGUGCGGGAUGACGGCCUUCGGGUUGUAAACCGCUUUCGCCUGUGCCGAAGCGUGCGUGACGGUAAUGGGUAAAGAAGCACCGGCUAACUACGUG